CCUACGGGUGGCUGCAGUCGAGAAUCAUUCACAAUGGGGGAAACCCUGAUGGUGCGACGCCGCGUGGGGGAAUGAAGGUCUUCGGAUUGUAAACCCCUGUCAUGUGGGAGCAAAUUAAAAAGAUAGUACCACAAGAGGAAGAGACGGCUAACUCUGUGCCAGCAGCCGCGGUAAUACAGAGGUCUCAAGCGUUGUUCGGAAUCACUGGGCGUAAAGGGUGCGUAGGCUGUUUCGUAAGUCGUGUGUGAAAGGCGCGGGCUCAAGCGGCGGACGGCACAUGAUACUGCGAGACUAGAGUAAUGGAGGGGGAACCGGAAUUCCAGGUGUAGCAGUGAAAUGCGUAGAUAUCGAGAGGAACACUCGUGGCGAAGGCGGGUCCCUGGACAGUAACUGACGCUGAGGCACGAAGGCCAGGGGAGCGAAAGGGAUUAGAUACCCCUGUAGUC
rnacentral:rRNA from 1 species